GUACCAAUUAAAGAUGAUGAUAUGGGAAUUACUUGGGGUGAUGAAGGAAAACCAGGAACUUCACAAAGGCACAAAAGUAAUUGAUCAGGAAUCUGCAACCCUUGCAGACAUGAACAUAUUCCCUGGUGACAAGCUUUGGGUGAGAGAUACUGAGAUGCAUGAACACCGCGAUAUUGCUGAUGAGUUAUGUGAUAAGAAAACGGGAGGUCAAGAUAUCGAAGAAGGGUUUCGAGGGACGCUAUUGACUGGGGAUAUCUCUUCUAAAGCCUGUUAGGAAUUGUAUUUUGAGAUCAAAGUGUAAAAAGAGAAUGUGUGAGAAAGAGUCAUUGGACCAUCUAGAAGAGUAGUUGUGCAGGAGACAGACGAGACAUUUUUUGGGUCAGUUUUUUGUGAAGGCAAGCAAGGCUUUGGAGCUUUGUUUUGUGUGUAAAAAACAAACGCAAAGAUUUGGAGAAAGCUUGCACUAGCUGAAUUUGUGUAGAUUCAAAGGCUUAUUGUGGAUGGCUAUUCGAAGCUGACUUUGUGUGUGUUUUAGGUGUAUACUUUAGCUAAAUGAGCAUUGCGUUUUAAACUCCUCUCUCUCUCUCUCUCUCUCUCUCUCUCGUUAGAGCUAAAGAGUAACUGUUUGUGUUACUCAUCUAGUGACUUUUUGAUUUAGCAAAAAAACAAAAAUCUAGUGGCCUUUUGCCCUAAUAUGUAUAUAUAUGAACCAAACUCAUGAAUCCGGAGUUAGUGUUUUUGUUCACUAGAUUAUA